AUUGAACGCUGGCGGCAGGCCUAACACAUGCAAGUCGAACGGUAGCACAGAGAGCCUGCUCUCGGGUGACGAGUGGCGGACGGGUGAGUAACGUCUGGGAAACUGCCCGAUGGAGGGGGAUAACUACUGGAAACGGUAGCUAAUACCGCAUAACGUCGCAAGACCAAAGUGGGGGACCUUCGGGCCUCACACCAUCGGAUGUGCCCAGAUGGGAUUAGCUAGUAGGUGGGGUAAUGGCUCACCUAGGCGACGAUCCCUAGCUGGUCUGAGAGGAUGACCAGCCACACUGGAACUGAGACACGGUCCAGACUCCUACGGGAGGCAGCAGUGGGGAAUAUUGCACAAUGGGCGCAAGCCUGAUGCAGCCAUGCCGCGUGUAUGAAGAAGGCCUUCGGGUUGUAAAGUACUUUCAGCGGGGAGGAAGGCGGUGAAGUUAAUAGCUUCACCGAUUGACGUUACCCGCAGAAGAAGCACCGGCUAACUCCGUGCCAGCCGCCGCCGUAAGAC
rnacentral:rRNA from 1 species